UGGAAACCAAAUAAAGCAAAAUAAAAUAAUAAUAAAAAAUGAAGGAAAGGGAUAGGAGAGUGUAUUGGGCGCAGAGCCCAUUUCCAGGCCCAACAUAGCCUUGUUGCAUGAACUCAAGGGGGGUAUGCUUAGUAGAAUGCGGGUGCAGCCAGCAACUAUUGGGCCCAAGGCAUGGAGCAAGCCCAAUAGCACAAUAAGGGGAACUGAAUCUAAGAGGCAAAGUUCCUCAUGUGCUCAAUUCCUUAACGUGUUCCACGCUCAGUCAAAAAUUUAACUCUCAAGUUCCCGCCAUCUGAAACAGUCUUCCUCCAUCGUGCUGAAGGCAGAGCCCUAAACUAUGAACAAAUUCUACCAUCCUCCUCCUCCCAGUGCCCUAAUACUAAAUCUAAUGUCAACUUUCUAAAAUUCCUCAUCAAUCAGACGAAUCGAAGCAAAGUGCAUCAGAACCCUAACCUACAAAACUUGAAAUUAAAUCUUCAUCGUUCGGAAUCAAAGCCCUAGGGAUGAAGGAUUUGAUUCCCCUAACCAAAACCUACAUCUUGGUAACUAGAAUGGAGCAAACGGCUAUGGAAAUCGGAAACUCACCGGCGGAGAAAACGCAACUGGAACCGGAAUUUCAGGUACCUCUUAUGAAUCUUUUUUCUCUUCGAAACUUCCUUUUCUUCAACCUUCUUCUUCUUCUGUAAUCUUCUUGCGUGAUUUGAGAGAUUAAUAUUUGAGUUUGCAUGUGUGUAUCAGAGAUGUGUAUGAAUGCGCGAGAGAGAGAGUUUGAGACUGAGAACGAAGGGAUGAAAAAAGUGAGAAUCUGAGUAUAUGAAUGAGUUUUCAGGUGAAGGAGGAAUAAUGAUGAAUGAGGAAGGUCAGUCUGAAUUUAUAGGGAGGAAUGAGUUAAUAGAAUGUUAACUCUAUCAAUUCAGUUUGUUGAAUUUUUUUCAAGUUGGUUAGUAGUUACGUAAUCGUGUUAGAAUAAAUUAGAAGUGAAAUGAGAGUUAGUUAGGAGAUUCAACUUCAGUUAGUUAUGUGAAAUGUUAGCUAGUUUUAAGUUCAGUUAGGUGUUAUGAUGAAGUUAGAUAUGCCAGUUAGAAUGUUAAACUGAGUUGGUUAUAAAUUUUAAAUGAGUUAUUAUUUGUGUUUGAGUCCAGUUAGUGCAAUGGUUGUUGUUAAGUGGAAUUAGUUGUUUAACUGAAUUUGAUGUGCAACUUGAUUAUGAAACAGUCCAACUACUCAAUGAUGGUGCAGGGUUUAUGUACUAUUGUUGCUAGUUUUUGGCUUAGGGAUAUGAAGUUAAAUGAACAUGCUUGGCCCUGUUUCUAGUGGUAAUCAAGUUUAAUGAAUGGUUACUUUGAUUUCUGCCAAUGUAUGAUUGUGAGCUAGCUUCCUGCUAAAUGAAUUGGUGAUGAUCCUGUUAAAACCUAUGUUAUGAAUGCAAUGUUGUUAGAAUUUUGUUAUACAAUUUGUCUUGUUAAUGCUUGUUGAUGCUUGUAUCAAAUGGAUUGGAAUUGUGAUGGAUGAUGAGUGAUAUGCAGCUUGUUAUGAGAGUUCUUUGUGUUAGGUCUGAAUGUGUGACUGUGCUUGAUUGUUAAUGAUUGUGAUGCUAGUUGACAUUGUUGUUUCUUUGAUGUGCAGCCUGCUCUUUUGAUGUAUGGUCUGUCUUGAGAUGUUUUACAAUCAUGUUAUGUUAAGUUAUAUUAAGAAUGCAUUGCCGUAAUGAUUGGUUAGGUUAUGAACUUGAAUGGAUGUUAUGUUAACAUGGUUAUGUGUUAUGUGAUGUGAAUGAUGAUUAUACUUUUCAACUUGGUAUGGAAAUGCUUUGGUUUUAUUUGGCAUGUUUGGCUUAAGUUAGGCAUAGCAUGUUGGUUUGGAAUUGACUCAUGUUAUUGUUAAGAAUGUUUAAAAAUGACACAUUGGUUUUUGGUCUUUGUUUUAUAGGAAAUGGAUGGACCAAUGCAAGGAUGACUUGUUUUUGAAGAAACAAAUGGAGAUUAGAGUUUAGGAAUGGGAAAAAAUAUGAAUUGACUUUGGUGAACUGGUUAACCAAAAGGUCAAUAGUUGACCAAAUGUCAACUUAUGCAAAAUGUAACUCAUUUUUUUUGUAAUUUUUCAAUGUAAUGUAUAUGGAAAAUGUAAAUAUGAUAUUGUAUGAAUGAAAUGCCCCCUUUUUAGUGAAAAAUAUUCUUAUGACUAAUGAAACAAGUUUGAAUUUCAAAUUACCACUUUUCCCUCCAAGUUCAAUUUGAUAUUACAUUGAAACAAAGAUCUGAAAUGCACUUUAAAACAUGCUUGAAUGAAUG
rnacentral:lncRNA from 1 species